AAGUAAACGAAUCGUAAAAAAAAGGAUUUUAAGGUUUUGAACCUUGAAUCUAUUGACAUGAAUGACAUAACCAACUAGACUACGCUUGGUUUUGCUAUCUAUUGUGCUAGUAAUAUUUAAUAUUAGAACAUAAAACAACUAAGUACGGAUAAAUGGACCCAAAUUCUUCAUACAAUUCACCUUUAAGCGUUCCUAUUCCUAUCCCUUCCUACCUCUCCCGUCUCAGGUGCCGCCGCCGCCCACUCGUCCCCAUCCCCCCAAACCUCCAGCUCCCCACCUCCCCCGCUCGCUCCAUUCUAGGAGCUACCAUACCGACGAUGGCUCCCAACUCUGCUCCUCUCAGAUCUCCCUCCACAUCUCACCUUCUCCCCCUUCCUCUCCUGGCAACGCCUUGAUCCUGCCCCCAAGAUCUCCUAGCCACUGUGUCCGCCCCCACGCUCGUUGCCCAGAUCCGGUAGCCCCUCCAUGCUCGUCCGCCCCUUUCUCGCUCUCUCCCCGGUCGGCUCGCUCCCGCUUGCAACCCCCACACCCCGUUUUGCUCCAGAGACAGUUCGCAGGUCCUCCUCACGGCGAAGCGCAGGUGAGCGCAGGUUCGGCCAACGGCCCCCGACCCGAUCGCAGGUCCUCACGGCGAAGCGCAGAGCCGAGUCGGACAUCACGACCACGACCAUGAGGCGUCGUCGUAGAGCAAUCAGAGCCGUUUUUGUUGCCCCUCCCGGUUAGAGGUCCCACACUUUUCCUUGUCCGGUGAUGAGAACUAAGCUACCUACUAUUCUCUCCAAUAUGAUGAGGAUAAAUGUCUCCAAUUUGUACAAACUACCAAUCCGGACAAGAAAUCUAAUCCACGGUGCUCCAAUCGACUGGCCUCUGAUAAUGGAGUCUAGAGUGUUUGAGUUUGAGGACUUAGGUAUAAGGAUGCAUUUUCAGCUACAUUUACGAACAUCUUGUUCUUUUUUGUAAUGCAUCUACCUUAUUUCUCUUUACGAAUUCCCACUCAAUUUAUUAUGCAGUUAACACUACCACUUUACGAUGGAUUCCUAGCCUAAUCCUUAAAUUUCAUUCUAAUCACCAUGCCUUUUAGAUCUAGGCAUUAGACUUGUAUUGUUGGAUCUGUUUAAUUGUUUCUCAUGCAACAAAAUGAGAUGAAGAUACACACGAGUCUGAGUUUACAGUGUUUGAGUUCAAGGACUUCGAUAAGGAUGCAUUUUCAACUGUAUUUAUGAACGUCUCUUUUUUUGGUAAUGCAUCUACCUUAUUUCCCUUUAUGAAUUGCCACUAAAUUUAGAUAAGCUCUCUACUCCAUGGUGGUCAAAACAGCUGGCCUCUAGUAAUGGAGCUUAGUGUGUUUCAGUUUGAGGACUUCGGUAAGGCUGCAUUUUUAACUAUAUUUACAAACAUCUGGUUUUAUUUUUGUAAUGCAUCUACCUUAUUUCCCUUUGUAAAUUCCCACUCAAUUUAUGAUGUGAUUAACACUACUAUUAUACGAUUGAUUCCUAGCUGAAUCCUUAAAUGGAUUACUGAUUUCACAGAUGAUGGGUGUGCUAUUGAUGGAAUAACCCAAGAUUAGGCCUAUGUUUUUAUUACAUUAUUAGUUUUUGUGCAUUGUAAAUUGUUGCAGCUCUGAGAUGAUAUAACAUUUUCGAGUUCUUGAGCAUGAUGUAUCUGAUGAUGGUAUGUUUAGUGUUGUGAAGGGAAGACGGUGUUUGUUUUCCUUUCUAAUUUAAAUUCAUAGAUACCCAGGGGCAGAGCCAGGAUUGGGUUAGAGCCCAGGGCUGAGUUAGUUAAAACAUGCUGCAAUUCAUUUUAGUUUCAAUAUUGUGCAGUUUCUUAAGUUGUCUUCCAUGUAAUUUUAGGCCUAAAACCAGGGCUGGAGCCUGGAUAUCCUAGGUCGUGGCUCCACCUAAUGGAGAUACAUUAUGAUUCAAUACAUGAGCAUCUUGUCUGAAAUCGUUUAGACCAAACACCAUAGUUCUAUCUGGGCUUAGUGGCCGUGGCAAAACCACUAUUUACUACCAGCUUCGGGAUGGAUCAUCACAUCAAGGAACUGUUACUUCAAUGGAAGAAAACAGUAAUACUUUUGUGCUGCAUUCGGAGCAAGAAAGGAAAGACAAAGUAAAACCUGUGCAUAUUAUUGAUGUUCCUGGUCAUGCUAGGCUCAAACCCAAACUUGAUGAAGUCCUGCCUAAAACUGCUGCGGUUGUCUUUGUUGUUGAUGCUCAAGAUUUCUUGUCUAGCAUUUGGUGUCUAUUUCUAUUUCAUCUACUUUCACUUUCAUGUGCAUUCGCUAUUUAGAUGUUCAAUAAGCUUCACACUCUAAACCCAAACUUGAUCCGAUUGCUGGUCGAGCCCCGCCCUCGCUGCCGCGCUUCGCUCCGGCUAUGCAGCGGCGUGAGCACCGACCACACUCGCGAAUGGGGAACUUAUAUUGUUUAAAUGUUUUGAGUAGUUAGUCACAGUUAUUUUGAUAGUGUCAUGACAAGGCUAGUAAUGUCAACCAAUUCACAUCAGAUAGUCGGUUUCUAUGACCUAUUGAUUAAAUGUUUUGAGUAGUUAGUCACAGUUAUAUUAAUGCCAGCUUAUAUUGUUUUUCCUCAUAAAAGGCAUGUAUGUUUACUGUGUUAUCAUAUGCCCACAUCGAUUGCUCUUCACUAAAACGUUUUAGGAUAAUCUAGGAAAAUUGAUUUCUGGAGCUGAUUCUUCGACAUCAACAAUCCAGCAGUGCUAGAUUUUUUGCCAAAGAUGGCAAUUGUUACUGCCUAUAGCUGUCUGUAGGUUCUCUUGUCAAUCUUUAGAGAUGACCGGGCAAUAAUUUUCAAUAGACGCUGAAGUGAAUGUCUCUUCUGGGUAGUGAUUGUUGUUAUUUAUAUGGGCCUUAGAUAUAUCGGUGCAAUCUUAUUCACCAUUGGAAUAAUAUGAGACUUAUGUUCGGUGUUUUCUUUUUACUCUUCUUGUUUAAUCUUUACCAAAGGCCCAGUCGCACUCCCCUAUCCUUAAUUCGGUAUGUUUUAUUUUUAAACUAAUGGCAUACAGGUACAUUUUAGCUACAACUGCAAUGAAAUUCAUGUUGCCUCUAGACUAUAGCAUUGUUCAGCUUCACCUUGACUAAAUAAGAAUAAAUAUAUUAUCUGUCACCAAAACUUCACAUGAACUGCUAUCCUGUAUUAUCUGGUGGAAAUAUGAAGGUUUCUUUAUUUCUCUUCUUAAACAGCAAGAGAAGAAGGAAGACAAGUCAGACAAAA